AGGAAGUUACUGGAAGCCAGCCCAAGAUGGACCCUGUUGGAGAAGCAGCUCUGAUGCACCAACUGAUAUCGUGCUGGAAAAAUAACACACUGCAAUGGAUCAAAGGACCAAAGGAAAGAUGAGAAGUUCCCUGAGAACUGAGCCCCGGGGCUGCUGCCCCUGAGGAGCAGGGUAAGGGCUGUGUGUGCUCAGGGGCCCUGGCUGAAGGCUGCAGGUGCUGUGAGUGUGUGCUGGGCCAAGGCAGCCAAGGUGUGUGCAGCUGUUCCGUGCCCUCCACCCUUGGAGGUAAAA